GACGAACGCUGGCGGCGUGCCUAAUACAUGCAAGUCGAGCGAAGUUUUUCUGGUGCUUGCACUAGAAAAACUUAGCGGCGAACGGGUGAGUAACACGUAAAGAACCUGCCUCAUAGACUGGGACAACUAUUGGAAACGAUAGCUAAUACCGGAUAACAGCAUUAACUGCAUGGUUGAUGUUUGAAAAGUUGGUUUUGCUAACACUAUGAGAUGGCUUUUCCGGUGCAUUUAGCUAGUUGGUGGGGUUAAGGGCCUACCAAGGCGACGAUGCAUAGCCGACCUGAGAGGGUGACCGGCCACCCCUGGGGACUGAAACACGGCCCCAGACUCCCACCGGGAGGCGCAGUAGGGAAUCUUUCCGCAAGGGGCGAAAGCUUGACGGGCCACCCCCCCGGGAGUAAAAAGGAUUUCGGGUCCUAAAGUUUUUUUUUAGGGAAAAAAGAUUUUUUUGGUACUUUACCCCAUAAAAACGGUUCCCUACCCAAAAGCCCCGGGUAACUUCGUGCCACGCGCCCCGGGUAAUCCGAAGGGGGCAGGCGUUUCCCGAAUUUUUUGGGGGAAAAGCCCCCCCCGUUGUUUUAAAAGUCCUGUGUAAAACCCCGCCCCCGGGGGCGGGGGCCUUUGGAAACUGUUAAUUGUGCGGGAAAAAGGGACCCGAUUAUUUCAAGGUCGCGGGGAAAUUCCAGAAGAAGGACCCUGGGAGGCUUUUUUUAUUAUCAAAGGGUUCUUUUUUUGGGAGGGGGAAAUAAGUGCCCCCGCCCCUUCUUUUGAUAAAACGUGUGGCUCUCCUGUUUUAAUUUUUUCCCCCCUGG
rnacentral:rRNA from 1 species